CUCUCUGCCCCUCCCCGACUUGGGCUCUCUCUCUAUGUGAAUAAACAGACUUAAAAAAAUUAAAAAUGAAUAACUAACUAAAUAACAAAUAACACAGGAGCAGACAGGGGCUUGGGGCCAAGGCAUCCGCCACUAGACAACAUACAUCUGGCCAACCAGUGCCCGUGUCCCUGGCUCUCAGGACUGUGUGUGUGUGGGGGGUGCUGAUCCAGUGUGACAGGUGUCCUUACAGGUGACGACAUGAGGACACAAACACGCACAGGGACGGUCCCAUGAGGACACGGACAAGGGAGAGCACAGUGUCUACACAGACUUCUGACCUCCAGCCUGGGGGCCACCGCCUGGCCCUCCAGCCUUCCCAUGGGUGGCUGAGACCCAUCAAUGGAGCAGGAGACACGGCACGGGGGCUCCGGAGACCUGGCUUCAGACCUUGCAUGACCUUGAUCAAGUCACUUCUCUCUCAACUUCAAUUUUUCCUGCUUUUGUUCUUGAGAUGUAAAAAAAAAAAAAAAAACGCAGAAAACCCAAUCUCUGCUCAUUAGCCGCCAGCCUUUUUCCUAUGCGUUUCAAAAAAAAUUACACCAGUAACAUACUGCUCUUCCUUUAAAAAGAAAAAAA